GACGAACUGUGCAAACGUUAUUCGGAAUCACUGGGCUUGAAGAGUGCGUAGGCGGUUUUUGUAAAGUAGGGGUGUGAAAAGCCCCCCGGCGUCAACCGGGGAAACGUUGUCGCCCUAAACCUAGCAAGGCUGGAGUGAGGUAGGGGUGUGUGGAACUUCCAGUGGAGCGGUGAAAUGUGUUGAUAUUGGAAGGAACGCCGGUGGCGAAAGCG
rnacentral:rRNA from 1 species